rnacentral:lncRNA from 10 species
ACUAGGGAUUAACACAAAAACAACAACAACAAAUCUGAUUUAAGCUUCACACAUGUAAGUAAAACAUUACCACCCCUAUUUUACAGAUGUGAAAAGAGAGGUCCAAAGAACUCGAGCAAUUUUCCCUAAACCGUGUCCCUCGCAGAUGGAGAGAGAGGUAGGAUUCAGACCCAGAAUUCUUAACCAGUACCCGGCAGUUCUUCCUUCCACAAUCUUAAGUUACCCUCGACCUCCCCUUGUGCCCCUUGUCCUCAGGAGACUGGCCCCCCAAGACUCACAUCCUCAGGUGAAUGGCAACCCCCCAGAAGUGGUUGUCUGAGGGUUAGUGCCAUUAUUUAUUUUCUUCUUUUUGGUGUCGGUUGCUCCAGUACCAACACCAGCACUGUUCCACUGAUGAUAGUCUGUGAACUGUGGAAAAGAGGAGCAGUGAUACUCAUGAGAACUACAAGCUCCUACAGUCACUUUACAGUUUAUACAAAAUACUCUCAUAGACGAUCUGAUUUAAUGCCACCAACGACUGUAUGAGGUGUUGUCGCAAUCACUUAGUGACUGAGAGGGAUUGAUACCAUGGCUAAAAGAAAGGCAAUAAUGGAACUGAAACUCAGUCUUCUGACUCUGAGCUCUGGGGUGUUGCCACAAAUCAGCAGCUGCCAGAGACCAAAACCAGAGGCAGAGGUAGAAAAGUAAGAAGUAGGCAGGAAGGUGUACACUGUGUGGUUUACAGUCGUACAUCCUCUUAGAGUCAUGUAUCCUCAGGGCAGAAGGCAGCCUUUCUGUUAAAUGUGGGAAUUAAACAGAAAGAGGACAACCCAAGCUGCAUUUCAGAGAGAAGUCUUGUAUACUCUUAGAAAUCUAUGUGACUAUCAUCCCUAAGAACAUUAAUGUUUUGUCUCUCCCACGAGAAUCAAGGAAAACUGAUGCUUCAGAAAGAUGCCCCAUAUGUAUCCUGUGGCACUCAAAGUACCCCAGGUUGAGAUGAGAUGAGGAAGAUUCAAGUUGUCAAGUCCAGUUUCCCAAGAUCUCUUGCACAGAAGAUGAGCAAAUCUCACUUCAAAGAUCACUGAGUGAUGGGCACUCUGGUCCCAGAACCAUGGAGAAUUCAAAUAUGAGUGGCUGAGACACAGAUAUUAAAGUUUCCC